CUACGGGACGCUCCAGUGAGGAAUAUUGCACAAUGGGGGGAACCCUGAUGCAGCAACGCCGCGUGGAGGAUGACGCAUUUCGGUGUGUAAACUCCUUUUAUAUGUCAGGAAAAUGACGGUAGCAUAUGAAUAAGCACCGGCUAACUCCGUGCCAGCAGCCGCGGUAAUAGGAGGGUGCAAGCGUUACUCGGAAUCACUGGGCGUAAAGGACGCGUAGGCGGGUUGGAAAGUCAGGUGUGAAAUCCUACAGCUUAACUGUAGAACUGCACUUGAAACUUCUAAUCUAGAGUAUGGGAGGGGGAGAUGGAAUUAGUGGUGUGGGGGUAAAAUCCGUAGAUAUCACUAGGAAUACCUAAAGCGAAGGCGAUCUCCUGGAACAUUACUGACGCUAAGGCGUGAAAGCGUGGGGAGCAAACAGGAUUAGAUACCCGGGUAGUC
rnacentral:rRNA from 1 species